AAAAAAAAAAAAAAAAGGACCCAAAUGGCAAAACUAGAAAGAUUCCGAGAAAGACUUAUAAUUUAUAAAGCAAGAAGACCAAUCCAAGGACAAGCCCCACCAAAAAAACAAUAAAAAAAGACCGACCCAGAAGACAACUUGUAAAGAAGUGCUCUUUGAAAGCAAGAGGACCGACCACCUAACCACCCAGCUCCUAACCAAACGACGAUGGUAUUCCUCUCUUCUGCUAAGAGUUCAAGAUCAAAUUUAAGCUAAAAAAAUAAAAAACCAAAAAUAGGAAAGAAGAAAAUAUCACACAGUGUACACUAGCUUUCACCUCAAUGUCCGCUUCAACAGUAGUAGUAGCCAAGAAAGAAAAGUCUAUGCUCAAGUCAUUGUUAAUUUAUGGAAGUACUUGAAAAAAAAGGUUGAAAAGAGAGAAGCCGAAAUUGGACCGUAUCCAAAGAGAGAGAAGUAUCUUGAAGAGAAGAAUUGACGGACACGUUUGGUGUGAGGGGUCGCUUGCAAGUGUCGCCUGUAAAA
rnacentral:misc_RNA from 1 species